CCUACGGGUGGCAGCAGUGAGGAAUAUUGGUCAAUGGGCGCGAGCCUGAACCAGCCAAGUCGCGUGAAGGAUGACUGCCCUACGGGUUGUAAACUUCUUUUAUAAAGGAAUAAAGUGAGGCACGUGUGCCUUUUUGUAUGUACUCUAUGCAUAAGGAUCGGCUAACUCCGUGCCAGCAGCCGCGGUAAUACGGAGGGUCCGAGCGUUAUCCGUAUUUAUUGGGUUUAAAGUGAGCGUAGAUGGGUUGUUAUGUCAGUUGUGAAAGUUUGCGGCGCAACCGUAAAAUGGCAAUUGAUACUGGCAGCCUUGAGUACAGUUGAGGUAGGUGGAAUUCGUGGUGUAGCGGUGAAAUGCUUAGAUAUCACGAAGAACUUCGAUUGCGAAGGCAGCUUACUAAACUGCCACUGACAUUGAUGCUCGAAAGUGUGGGUAUCAAACAGGAUUAGAUACCCCUGUAGUC
rnacentral:rRNA from 1 species